rnacentral:rRNA from 1 species
AGGGCACCACCAGGAGUGGAGCCUGCGGCUUAAUUUGACUCAACACGGGAAAACUCACCCGGCCCGGACACUGGAAGGAUUGACAGAUUGAGAGCUCUUUCUCGAUUCGGUGGGUGGUGGUGCAUGGCCGUUCUUAGUUGGUGGAGUGAUUUGUCUGGUUAAUUCCGAUAACGAACGAGACUCUAGCCUAUUAAAUAGAUCGUUGGCUUACAAACGCCGGCGAGACUUCUUAGAGGGACAGGCGGCGAUUCAGCCGCACGAAACAGAGCAAUAACAGGUCUGUGAUGCCCUUAGAUGUCCGGGGCCGCACGCGCGCUACACUGAAGUGAUCAGCGUGCAUUUUGAAACCUACUCUGUCAAGAGUGGGGAACCCAAUGAACCUUCUUCGUGAUUGGGAUAGGGGAUUGUAAUUAUUCCCCUUGAACGAGGAAUUCCCAGUAAGCGCGAAUCAUAAGUUUGCGCUGAUUACGUCCCUGCCCUUUGUACACACCGCCCGUCGCUACUACCGAUUGAAUGUUU